CUGAGAGGGUGAUCGGCCACAUUGGGACUGAGACACGGCCCAAACUCCUACGGGAGGCAGCAGUGGGGAAUAUUGCACAAUGGGGGAAACCCUGAUGCAGCGACGCCGCGUGAAGGAAGAAGUAUUUCGGUAUGUAAACUUCUAUCAGCAGGGAAGAAAAUGACGGUACCUGACUAAGAAGCCCCGGCUAACUACGUGCCAGCAGC
rnacentral:rRNA from 1 species